rnacentral:ncRNA from 2 species
ACCCGAUGCACGGGAGCCCCGGAGACGAGGGGCUGAGAGGGAGGCGAGCCUCCGACCGACACACCUGAUCCGGGUCAUACCGGCGUAGGGACGCAGACACUUCUUCCA